UGCCUAUUAGCUAGCCCCACCAACCAAGCUCAACAAACAAACAUAAAUAUACCCAAAAACACUUAAAACUUAAUAAACAAAGCAUUUUCCCUCCUUAGUAUGGGAGACAGAAAAG
rnacentral:rRNA from 1 species